ACCGUGAAAAAAUUAGAGUGUUCAAAGCAGGCAGAUCCAAUUUUCUGCCACCGAAUACAUUAGCAUGGGAUAAUGGAAUAGGACCCUGUCCUCCUAUUUUCAGUUGGUUUUGGCAGCGCGAGGACUAGGGUAAUGAUUAAUAGGGAUAGUUGGGGGCAUUAAUAUUUAAUUGUCAGAGGUGAAAUUCUUGGAUUUAUGAAAGAUUAACUUCUGCGAAAGCAUCUGCCAAGGAUGUUUUCAUUAAUCAAGAACGAAAGUUAGGGGAUCGAAGACGAUCAGAUACCGUCGUAGUCUUAACCAUAAACGAUGCCGACCAGCGAUUAGGAGACGUUGAAUACAAAACACCACCAUCGGCGCGGUCGUCCUUGGCGUCUCGGUCCUUCACGGGGCCGGGGCGCGGGGGCGGCUUACCCGGUGGCACCGGUGAAUGACUCCCCU
rnacentral:rRNA from 1 species